rnacentral:rRNA from 1 species
UUACCUGGUCUUGACAUCUCGGGAAUCAUUUGGAAACAUAUGAGUGCCUCGCAAGAGGAGCCGAUGACAGGUGCUGCAUGGCUGUCGUCAGCUCGUGUCGUGAGAUGUUGGGUUAAGUCCCGCAACGAGCGCAACCCUUGUCUUUAGUUGCCAUCAUUAAGUUGGGCACUCUAAAGAGACUGCCGGUGUCAAACCGGAGGAAGGUGGGAUGACGUCAAGUCCUCAUGGCCUUUAUGUCUAGGGCUACACACGUACUACAAUGGCCGGUACAAAGGGCAGCCACUCAGCGAUGAGGCGCUAAUCCCAUAAAGCCGGUCUCAGUCCGGAUCGCAGUCUGCAACUCGACUGCGUGAAGUUGGAAUCGCUAGUAAUCGUGGAUCAGCAUGCCACGGUGAAUACGUUCCCGGGCCUU